AGAGUUUGAUCCUGGCUCAGAACGAACGCUGGCGGCAGGCUUAACACAUGCAAGUCGAACGCACCUUCGGGUGAGUGGCAGACGGGUGAGUAACGCGUGGGAACGUGCCCUUCAGUUCGGAAUAACCCAGGGAAACUUGGGCUAAUACCGGAUACGUGCGAGAGCAGAAAGAUUUAUCGCUGAAGGAUCGGCCCGCGUCUGAUUAGCUAGUUGGUGGGGUAAUGGCCCACCAAGGCGACGAUCAGUAGCUGGUCUGAGAGGAUGAUCAGCCACAUUGGGACUGAGACACGGCCCAAACUCCUACGGGAGGCAGCAGUGGGGAAUAUUGGACAAUGGGCGCAAGCCUGAUCCAGCCAUGCCGCGUGAGUGAUGAAGGCCUUAGGGUUGUAAAGCUCUUUCGGCGGGGACGAUAAUGACGGUACCCGCAGAAGAAGCCCCGGCUAACUUCGUGCCAGCAGCCGCGGUAAUACGAAGGGGGCUAGCGUUGUUCGGAAUCACUGGGCGUAAAGGGCGCGUAGGCGGCUUGAUAAGUCGGGGGUGAAAGCCUGUGGCUCAACCACAGAAUUGCCUUCGAUACUGUCUGGCUUGAGACCGGAAGAGGUAAGUGGAACUGCGAGUGUAGAGGUGAAAUUCGUAGAUAUUCGCAAGAACACCAGUGGCGAAGGCGGCUUACUGGUCCGGUUCUGACGCUGAGGCGCGAAAGCGUGGGGAGCAAACAGGAUUAGAUACCCCAGUAGUCC
rnacentral:rRNA from 2 species